UGGAGGAGAGGAGAGUUAGACAGUGCAGAAGUACGUCACCUACCAGGGAUGCAGAUUUACUAAGCUUUCCUAGUGCCAUUCUCAGGAGGGGCCAGGCUGAUAUGCUGUAGUCAGACACAGCUGUGGUUCCAUGGGCCCAUAUGCGCCAUUCUCCUGCCCAGCUCUCUGCUAGCUGUGCUACAGCACAGCAUUAUUGCCUACACCUGAGACCCCCAUGAAGUAGGGACAAAAGGGGUGUGGUUUGGAUUUAGCUCAGCUGCAGGUCAUGUCUCAUCACGUGCUUCUCUGGGGCAAAGCACAGCCAUGGGGUGGUUUACAGCAGGUUCUGGAAAAUAUAUUUCUGGAGCCUCUUCCCAAGGAAGUUAGUGCUUUUUUGGUGGCUGUAUAGACUGUUCAGAAGGAGUAAGGCAUAGCUGUGUGUCUUUGUGUGGUUGUGCAGUGUGCAUCUGUCCUACCUAGGAGCCCUGUGUUAGGUUUUGGGCCUGAUCUCAGGCACUGAUGGGAGAGGGCCAACAAUGUGUGACGCUGAAAGGCUUCUGAUAUUCAGGAGGACUACAUAACUUCCGUAUUCAACCUAUAAGAACAGUGGAAGAAAACUGAUGCAUUUGAUGCAGUACCUGUGUUCUCUAGUGCCUUGAAGUGCAGAAGUCUUCAUGUCCUUCUGCUGUGCCUGUGCAAGAAGUAUAUGCUCAUGUAGCCUUUUGACACGUAAGCUAGGAACCUCUGGAAGGAUCAGACCAUGCAGUUCAGGAAGACUUGGAAACACUUUUUAAUUAAACAAAAAAGAGCUGCCCUGUUAGCAUGUGCAUGGUGUGGUACAGGAUUAGAAAGAAAACCUGAUGCAUUGUACCAAUUAGUCAGACUGAUUUAUCUAUUGUUUGUGCUAUAAGCUGUGCAUAGUUAUUUGCUUAUGAGUACUGGCUCAAAGCCUUGGUCCUUCUCGCAAAGCCAUUAAAGUCAUUAGUUGGGGUCUUAUUGAUUUGAACAAGACCAAGCCUUGACUCAUUGUGUCUAUCCAGAGGACACCAAUAAACUUUUAAAUCAGUCAAGGCUGUAGAGUCAUUCUGCUGGGGUCAUAUGGUUAAUACAUCCUGUUCCUGUCAUUUCCGCUAUAAAUCUGUGAAUGCUUUUAAAACAAGAGGAAAACUUGAUUCCCUUCCUUUUGCGAAAAAAUAUUAUGUUCCCUUUUAUUACAGCGAAGAUGGGGGUCCUUUUCCUGAGGAAAGCUUGUAAUGGGAAAGGUAAUAUCAAUACAUUCCAUUGUCUCUGGAGUCAGUGAAAAGUAAUUAGAGACAAAGAAAUGAGCCAUAGGUCUCCUAACUGCAAUGCAAACUUUCUCCCACUGAUUUCCCAUAAGCCUUUGCUGGGCACUGAUGUCUAUUAAAAAAUCCCUUAUUUUUAGCAUUUCAUCUAGGUUGCACAAUCUCCUCAAGAUGGAAAAGAUUUUAACUUCCUACCAGUGUAAUCAAACUCACGAUUAUUGACUUCAUUUGUGUGACUUUGCCAUUGUGUGACUGGGUCAUUAAUUUUUUUACUUCCAGUCUCUCCCUGUUAAAUUUAGUAGUCCAAACAAAACUGUGGUGGAGAAUACCAAUCCUAAUUUUGUUCAUUUAAAAGCAGAACUCUGCAAUCUGUUCUUAUCUCACAUUUUGUUGCUUUCAGGAAGAUCUCAAUGGAUCUAGUGAAGCAAAGAGUUGUAUGGGAAUGAAGAUGGAUCAUGAAAAAUGGAUCUUGAGAGCAAUUUGGUUAUUUCAAAGCUGACAAAGGAAUCAGUGGGGUCUUAUUUAAGUCAGUAAAUAUAGCUGGCUAUACACUUUGUAAAUGCUACUUGGGCUGAGAGGGAGGUUAACAGCUUCCACUGGUCACCUUUUCUGAUAAACAGAUGAUAUGAGAGAAGAAGAAAGGAUCUUUCUUAUGCAUAUGUAUUUAGAUGUAUUACUGUGUCCAGUUUGAAAGCCCAGCUGGCUUUCAGAGUUAGUGGAUUGUGUCUCUGUGUGCAUGCACGUGCAUGUUUUAUAAAUGGUUUGAUCUUACCUGAGAAUCUGUGGCUCUGGUUACAUUCCAUUUGUUCACACUUUUUCUGUAGGCUCCAUAGUGAGCUUGCUGGACAGUUCAUUAAGUUAGCUGACAGUGCACAUACAGCCUUUCCACCCACCUCCCCCAGCCCUAAAAUAAAAAAUAAAGAAAUUAAAAUGGGAAGAAGGAAAAAUACUAUGCAAAUAGCUCAGAUGCAUAGACACCUUUAAGCUAAUGCAGUUUUGAGCAUCAUAAAAAAAAAAUGUUUUUUCAGGAGUAUUGCAGUUACUCCAGUGACAUGACCACCUUGCAGCAGUGCCAGUGCUGGCUGUCAGAACUGGCUAUCUCAGUAAGGCUGACAAAACUUCCAUCGCUGACUUUUUAGAGUCAGAGUGCUUCUAAGGAGCCCCCUUUUUUUUUUUUUUUUUUUUUUUUUCUUCCUUGCAACAGUUAAGGUAGCUUCUAGGUACUUGGGCAUCUCACUUUGCAAAGCAAGUGGUUCAUAAAUAGCAGUUAGUGUGAUCAGUUGCUUUUGAAAAUGUUCUUUUGGUGUUACGACUCAGUUCAUCCAACUUCCAGCAUGUUAUUUCUCCAAAUAUUAUUAAAAACAAACAAACCAGCUACUAGGUCAACCGCAAAGAUACCUUUUCAAAGGGUUCAACCCUUUCAAAUAGUUCAUUCUGUUUCUUAAAGUUGCUGCAAACCUGGUCCCUGGAGUUAUAUCAAUGUAAGAGCACUACUAGAAGAAUGAAAUCACUGAACAGUCAUUCUGUUGCUUUCUUUUACAUGAAAACCUUCUUGUUCAACUAGGAAUCCUCAAGCAGUGCAUUCAUGUAAACCAUCAACUCUGCUCUCAUACAAUGAGUGGUCAGCACAGCUGAGUUUUAAAAAGCCUUUGUAACAGCUCAGAAAAACCCCUCAAGCCCCCCUUUGGGAUUAGUACCUUUAGUUAAUGUUGGUUAACACUUAUUUGGAACAGGCAUGUUAUUCUUUCCUUAACCUUUAUUCUCAUCGUUCUUCCAAUCUCCUUUUAAAUUCCAUUUUCCCCUCCGUUGGCGUCUGUACCCUUAGCUACCUCACAAACAAGCUGCAUUGCCAGCUGGCAUGCAAGAACAGAACUGAGAGCAGCACUGCUAACCCCUGCUCCUCUCCACUCCCUGCAAAGUUGGAGGCAUAUCAAGCUUGAUGCUGAGAUCCCGGAAAGCGGAAUUCUGAGCUUCCUGGGAACUCAAAGAGCUGGGUUUGAGGCUAUUAAGUUAUUGGGCUGGGUCACUGAGCUACAGUUGUUCAUACAUCUCUGUUUUAUACAUUUUUUUUUUUGGAGUGAGCAGAUGUUCCUACUUGCGCUGAGUAUUUGUUAUGCUGUGAAAACCAGAAAACAGUGCAACAGAUUAUAGGCAGUUUUAAUCAAUUUUGUUAAGGUAACCAAAAUCUGGUCCAGAACGACAAGCCCAAUGCUUUUCAAAGUGGUUUAAGUAAGAAAAGAUUUGGACAAACCAAUGUUGCAGUAGGUUUUGGCUAUGGGCAGCACUAACUUGAUUUUUGCCAAAUUUUUUGUUCUUAAUGAAAAUAGAAAUUGAGAACUCUUAAAUAAAAUAAAAUACAGAAUCUGGAAAAACUUUGUUCAUCCAGUCCUGUGCAUUGCUGCUCACUCUUUUGAUCCACACACAGUGGUUGAACCUAAAGUAUAUUUAACUUUCCCCCAACCUGCCCAGCCCUGAGUUUUGUUCUGAAUUUGUUGUGUCUUUUUUUCUACAUUGGUAAAUGUUUCUGUCUUCAGUUUGUAAGGUAGAAAGCCUAGCCACAGGACAUCAACAACUUCCAUGUUGCCUGUUUGGGAAAAGAAAAUACGCAUUUAAAAGAAUCAGCAGUUUAGAGAGAGAGGAUAUAAUGUGAUUGAAGAUUUUCACUGUAACACUGUAGAGUACAAAAAAAAUAUAUAUAUAAAAUGCAUUUUAAAUGAUUAAUGUACAAAAGCUGACCUCUUCCAGUGUGCAUUAAUCAAGAAAAAAUGCACAGUGUCAAUAGUGGUUAAUGUUGCAGGUCCAUUAUUUAGCUUUGAUAAUGUGCAUAAAAAUGCUCAAUAUGACAAUGAGUUGGGGUAGCUGAGAAUUUAGGAUGGUGGCAAGUUUGUUGUAGUAUUUGGAUUAGCAUUCUUAACCUACAUCUUGACAGCUUCUUUUCUUCAGUUUCGAAGAG